rnacentral:rRNA from 1 species
GGGACACGUGGUAUCCUGUCUGAAUAUGGGGGGACCAUCCUCCAAGGCUAAAUACUCCUGACUGACCGAUAGUGAACCAGUACCGUGAGGGAAAGGCGAAAAGAACCCCGGCGAGGGGAGUGAAAAAGAACCUGAAACCGUGUACGUACAAGCAGUGGGAGCACGCUUAGGCGUGUGACUGCGUACCUUUUGUAUAAUGGGUCAGCGACUUAUAUUCUGUAGCAAGGUUAACCGAAUAGGGGAGCCGAAGGGAAACCGAGUCUUAACUGGGCGUUAAGUUGCAGGGUAUAGACCCGAAACCCGGUGAUCUAGCCAUGGGCAGGUUGAAGGUUGGGUAACACUAACUGGAGGACCGAACCGACUAAUGUUGAAAAAUUAGCGGAUGACUUGUGGCUGGGGGUGAAAGGCCAAUCAAACCGGGAGAUAGCUGGUUCUCCCCGAAAGCUAUUUAGGUAGCGCCUCGUGAAUUCAUCUCCGGGGGUAGAGCACUGUUUCGGCAAGGGGGUCAUCCCGACUUACCAACCCGAUGCAAACUGCGAAUACCGGAGAAUGUUAUCACGGGAGACACACGGCGGGUGCUAACGUCCGUCGUGAAGAGGGAAACAACCCAGACCGCCAGCUAAGGUCCCAAAGUCAUGGUUAAGUGGGAAACGAUGUGGGAAGGCCCAGACAGCCAGGAUGUUGGCUUAGAAGCAGCCAUCAUUUAAAGAAAGCGUAAUAGCUCACUGGUCGAGUCGGCCUGCGCGGAAGAUGUAACGGGGCUAAACCAUGCACCGAAGCUGCGGCAGCGACGCUUAUGCGUUGUUGGGUAGGGGAGCGUUCUGUAAGCCUGCGAAGGUGUGCUGUGAGGCAUGCUGGAGGUAUCAGAAGUGCGAAUGCUGACAUAAGUAACGAUAAAGCGGGUGAAAAGCCCGCUCGCCGGAAGACCAAGGGUUCCUGUCCAACGUUAAUCGGGGCAGGGUGAGUCGACCCCUAAGGCGAGGCCGAAAGGCGUAGUCGAUGGGAAACAGGUUAAUAUUCCUGUACUUGGUGUUACUGCGAAGGGGGGACGGAGAAGGCUAUGUUGGCCGGGCGACGGUUGUCCCGGUUUAAGCGUGUAGGCUGGUUUUCCAGGCAAAUCCGGAAAAUCAAGGCUGAGGCGUGAUGACGAGGCACUACGGUGCUGAAGCAACAAAUGCCCUGCUUCCAGGAAAAGCCUCUAAGCAUCAGGUAACAUCAAAUCGUACCCCAAACCGACACAGGUGGUCAGGUAGAGAAUACCAAGGCGCUUGAGAGAACUCGGGUGAAGGAACUAGGCAAAAUGGUGCCGUAACUUCGGGAGAAGGCACGCUGAUAUGUAGGUGAAGUCCCUCGCGGAUGGAGCUGAAAUCAGUCGAAGAUACCAGCUGGCUGCAACUGUUUAUUAAAAACACAGCACUGUGCAAACACGAAAGUGGACGUAUACGGUGUGACGCCUGCCCGGUGCCGGAAGGUUAAUUGAUGGGGUCAGCGCAAGCGAAGCUCUUGAUCGAAGCCCCGGUAAACGGCGGCCGUAACUAUAACGGUCCUAAGGUAGCGAAAUUCCUUGUCGGGUAAGUUCCGACCUGCACGAAUGGCGUAAUGAUGGCCAGGCUGUCUCCACCCGAGACUCAGUGAAAUUGAACUCGCUGUGAAGAUGCAGUGUACCCGCGGCAAGACGGAAAGACCCCGUGAACCUUUACUAUAGCUUGACACUGAACAUUGAGCCUUGAUG